AUUGAACGCUGGCGGCAGGCCUAACACAUGCAAGUCGAACGAGUGGCGGACGGGUGAGUAAUGUCUGUGCACCUGCCUGAUUGAGGGGGAUAACUACUGUAAACGGUAGUUAAUACCGCAUUCCAUCGGAUGUGCCCCGAUGGGAUUAGCUAGUCGGUGGGGUAAAGGCUCACCUAGGCGACGCUCCCUAGCUGGUCGUAGAGGAUGAACAGCCACACUGGAACUGAGAAACGGUCAAGACUCCUAAGGGAGGCAGCAGUGGGGAAUAUUGCACAAUGGGCGCAAGCAUGAUGCAGCCAUGCCGCGUGUAUGAAGAAGGCCUUCGGGGUGUAAAGUACUUUCAGCGGGGAGGCGGUACCCGCAGAAGAAGCACCGGCUAACUCCGUGCCAGCAGCCGCGGUAAUAC
rnacentral:rRNA from 1 species